rnacentral:rRNA from 1 species
GGUUAACGCUGGCGGCAUGCCUAAUACAUGCAAAUCGAACGAAGCCUUUUGGCUUAGUGGUGAACGGGUGAGUAACACGUAUCCAAUCUACCCUUAAGUUUGGGAUAACUAGUCGAAAGAUUAGCUAAUACCGGAUAAUAACAUUCACUUGCAUGAGUGGAUGUGGAAAGUUGCGUUUGCAACGCUUUUGGAUGAGGGUGCGACGUAUCAGAUAGUUGGUGAGGUAACGGCCUACCAAGCCGACGAUCAGUAGCCGACCUGAGAGGGUGACCGGCCACAUUGGGACUGAGACACGGCCCAA